rnacentral:rRNA from 1 species
GCUUAGCCCUAAACAUAGAUAAUUACAUAAACAAAUUAUUUGCCAGAGUACUACCGGCAACAGCUUAAAACUCAAAGGACUUGGCGGUGCUUUAUAUCCUUC